rnacentral:misc_RNA from 1 species
AACUUUCGACAACGGAUCACUUGGCUCUCGCAUCGGUGAAGAACGCAGCGAAUUGCGAUAAGCAAUGUGAAUUGCAGAAUUCAGUGAAUCAUCGAAUCUUUGAACGCACCUUUCGCCCUUUGUCUAUUCUGAAGGGCAUGCCUGUUUGAGUAUCACGAACACCUCAACUCUUGUGGCCUGCCACGAUGAGCUUGGACUUUGGGGGUCUUGCCGGCGUACCGUCGGUUCCUCUCGAAUGAAUCAGCUUGCCAGUGUUCGGUGGCAUCACGGGUGUGAUAACUAUCUACGCUUGUGGUUUUCUGCCGGGCAACCUCCAGCAAUGGAGGUUCGCUGGAGCUCACACAUGUCUCUCCUCGGUGAGGACAGCUUUUCGAACGUUUGAUCUCAAAUCAGGUAGGACUACCCGCUGAACUUAAGCAUAUCAAUAAGCGGAGGCU